rnacentral:rRNA from 1 species
GAUGAACGCUGACAGAAUGCUUAACACAUGCAAGUCUACUUGAACUUCGGUUUGGGUGGCGGACGGGUGAGUAACGCGUAAAGAACUUGCCUCACAGUUAGGGACAACAUUUGGAAACGAAUGCUAAUACCUGAUAUUAUGAUUUUAGGGCAUCCUAAGAUUAUGAAAGCUAUAUGCACUGUGAGAGAGCUUUGCGUCCCAUUAGCUAGUUGGAGAGGUAACGGCUCACCAAGGCGAUGAUGGGUAGCCGGCCUGAGAGGGUGAACGGCCACAAGGGGACUGAGACACGGCCCUUACUCCUACGGGAGGCAACAGUGGGGAAUAUUGGACAAUGGACCAAAAGUCUGAUCCAGCAAUUCUGUGUGCACGAUGACGUUUUUCGGAAUGUAAAGUGCUUUCAGUUGGGAAGAAAAAAAUGACGGUACCAACAGAAGAAGUGACGGCUAAAUACGUG